UAUAGUGUAAUUUAGACAUAGUUAUAGGGCGGAUGUAGCCAAGUGGAUCAAGGCAGUGGAUUGUGAAUCCACCAU
rnacentral:tRNA from 1 species